UCCCCGCGUAAUUUAGGCAUAUUACUAAGCGGAGGAAAAGAAACCCAACGGGGAUUCUCCUAGUAACUGCGAGUGAACGGAGAAAAGCCCAGCGCUGAAUCCUGUAGCUGGAAACGGUUAUGGGAGCUGUAGCGUGAAGAAGGUGUACAACCAAUGCAGUCAAUACACGUAAGUCUCCCUGAGUGGAGCUCCAUCCCAAGGAGGGUGCAAGGCCCGUAUCGUGUUUGACGCGUGUUGGUAUAGCAUUUUCAGAGAGUCGGGUUGUUUGGGAUUGCAACCUAAAGCCGGUGGUAAACUCCAUCGAAGGCUAAAUAUGACCACGAGUCCGAUAGCGAACAAGUACCGUGAGGGAAAAUUGAAAAGCACUUUGAAGAGAGAGCGAAAUAGUGCGUGAAACCGCUUAGAGGCAAGCAGAUGGGGCCUCGAAGGUAGAGCAGCGAAUUCAGCUUGCAUUUCUGCUAGACUACUGUCGGCGUAGAGAUCGUAAGACUCUUGCCGAUGUAGGGUGUAUAGUGGAAUGUGAGUGCACUUUCGCUGCUUGUACGCCACCGCUGUUAAACUGCAUCCGCUGUGGCUUUGCGUGAGGCCUUGAGUGGCUUGCUGCUUAAGUCACCUACGCUUGGCCGUAUGCAGCGCGUUUGCGUAUUAACUGGUCAAGUCAUUCCUAUGCCAGCAUCGCUUCGGUGAUGUGAUGUAGGUUGCCGGCGUGUUUAUAGCUGCCUCGCAUUGCGGUUGACGUGCUUGCACGGCCUCUGCUGCUGGUGGUAUACUGCGUUGGACCUGCAGGUGUAGUGUAGAUUGGUGGCGAGUAGACGGCUGCCCAUCUAACCCCGUCUUGAAA
rnacentral:rRNA from 1 species